AUUCCCAGAAAUGUAGGGCCCUACCAAAUUCAUGGUCCAUUUUAGUCAAUUUCAUGAUCAUAUGAUUUUGAAAAUGGUAAAUUUCACGAUUUUAGCUAUUUAAAUCUGAAAUUUCAGAGUUGUAAUUCUAGGGGUCCUAACCCAA